AGCGAACGCUGGCGGCAGGCCUAACACAUGCAAGUCGAACGAACCUUUCGGGGUUAGUGGCGGACGGGUGAGUAACACGUGGGAACGUGCCUUUAGGUUCGGAAUAACUCAGGGAAACUUGUGCUAAUACCGAAUGUGCCCUUCGGGGGAAAGAUUUAUCGCCUUUAGAGCGGCCCGCGUCUGAUUAGCUAGUUGGUUGAGGUAAUGGCUCACCAAGGCGACGAUCAGUAGCUGGUCUGAGAGGAUGAUCAGCCACAUUGGGACUGAGACACGGCCCAAACACCUAGGGGGGGGGGGAGGGGGGAAUUUGGAAAAGGGGGAAAAGGCGGGACGAACCAUGCCCGGGGGAAAAAGAAGGUUUUAGGAAUAAAAAAUUUUUCCCCCGGGGAAAAAAAAGAGGGGACCCGGGAAAAAAGCCCCGGAAAACUUUGGGC
rnacentral:rRNA from 1 species